rnacentral:lncRNA from 1 species
UUAGUGCAAAUACCAAUUGUGGUAACUAUAAUCCAAAUUACAUAACAUCUUGAGCGACUCCAAAUUAGUUUCACGUAAAUUGGGCUCAUCAUGCUCUAUUCUCGUAACUACCUAUAAAUAUUUAAUAUCAUAGAGAUUUGUAUUUUCUUUAGCAUUCUCGUAACACAUGCAAGUUUAUACUAGUAAACCAGCUUCAUGAAUAUAUUUUUCGUAACCCCAUCUGUACACAGGCUUGCAUGCAUGGCAGUAUGGCACCGUACGUGAAGGCCGCAUGUAUAUUCUCGUAACCCAUCUAUACACGCUUUGCAUGCAUCAGCUGGCUUGCUUCACGUAAUUAGCUCCGGCCCGCACGCUCAGUCCAAACAGGAAAGCAGCAAUAACGUUUUUGGCGCUACUCACGUAGGGUGUGCAUGCUCGGUCUCUCCCCGUAGUAAUAGUAAUUAACUACGAGAUUCGGCCGGCUCGCUAGCAGCAGCUUCGGUAAUUUAGGGUCGGUCGAGCGCGCGCCUGGUGGAUGGUGGAUGGCUCGGUCGGUUUGGCCGGCCUGGCUACAAAAUAAGAUAUUUUGUAGCUACCUAUAUAUAUAUAGGGUAAUUCCUUUCUACACGUACGAGUAUCUACACUGAUCUAUCGUCGUGCGAAGGAAACAGACGUCGGGGAUGUGAGGUAACGUAGGAAACCGAGAUCGUGGAGGGUGGAGUCCGGCCCGUAUACUAUCUAACAGGGUAUUUUGUUUUAAGGCGAGUAUAUACGUGUAUAUUUUUUAGGCAAAUAUAUACAUGCAUGCUGACAACUAUAAUAAAAAACGGAUUUGGUUUAAAUUGUUUGCUUUUGACAUUGGGCUGGGGUACCUGACUUUUUGAAAUAUGUGCAUUUAAAUAGUAGUAUAUGUAUAUACCAAUUUUUUAGAAGUAUGGUUGCAUACUUUAAUAAGGACAUUAGGUAUUUUAUUAAUAUUAAUUUAUAUUGUUUUAGGU